rnacentral:lncRNA from 1 species
UUUCUUUCUUCUUCUCUCUAUACGUUGGUGUUCUAACCCAUAAUCAUUCAAUCGCUAUUACGAUUCAUUUUCCGACCGAUCAAUAUAUCCAAUGGAUGUUUAAGUGCCGCCCAUAUUAGGGUUAUACUUUGUCGUUCGUCGUUAAUUCGAUGAAUGUUUAAGUAUCGCGCUUUGUCGUUCGUUGUGAGAAUUUGAUCUCGUGAGUUAUCGUAAAAGCUGUAUUGAUCAUUAACCCGGUUUUUGUGAAAUUCGUUAAGGUUCGAAUCUCAUGACUACCGUUAAGGUUUGAUUUGGGUUUUGCACCAAUACGUAUUCCAUUCUGUUAAACCACCAAAAAUACUCCCAACUACACCCUUACAAUCAAACAAACUAUUAAAUCAUCAGAAGAUCCAGAAUAAUAAAGUGCAUGCUUAAUUAUCGGAAGAAGUAGAAUCAAGAAGUUUGUUAACUCAAUCCUGCAUGCUGAUUAGUAAUUACAGUAGAUUGGAGUAAGGAUU